rnacentral:rRNA from 1 species
UACGUAGGGGGCAAGCGUUGUCCGGAUUUAUUGGGCGUAAAGAGCGUGUAGGCGGCCAGGUAGGUCAGCUGUGAAAACUCGAGGCUCAACCUCGAGAUGUCGGCUGAAACCAUCUGGCUAGAGUCCGGAAGAGGAGAAUGGAAUUCCCGGUGUAGCGGUGAAAUGCGCAGAUAUCGGGAAGAACACCCGUGGCGAAGGCGGUUCUCUGGGCCGAUACUGACGCUGAGGAGCGAAAGCGUGGGGAGCGAACAGG